AGCAUUGAUGCCAGAUUUAAUGGGUGGAUUUUAAGCGUCUAAUAUAAAGAAUUUUGUCUUUUUAGUGUUU
rnacentral:tRNA from 1 species